GUAGGUGGCAAGCGUUGUCCGGAAUUAUUGGGCGUAAAGCGCGCGCGGGCGGUUCUUUAAGUCUGAUGUGAAAGCCCACGGCUCAACCGUGGAGGGUCAUUGGAAACUGGAGAACUUGAGUACAGAAGAGGAAAGCGGAAUUCCACGUGUAGCGGUGAAAUGCGUAGAGAUGUGGAGGAACACCAGUGGCGAAGGCGGCUUUCUGGUCUGUAACUGACGCUGAGGCGCGAAAGCGUGGGGAGCAAACAGGGAUUAGAUACCCUGGUGUCCACGCCGUAAACGAUGAGUGCUAAGUGUUAGGGGGGUUUCCGCCCCCUUAGUGCUGCAGCUAACGCAUUAAGCACUCCGCCUGGGGAUACGGCCGCAAGGCUG
rnacentral:rRNA from 1 species